UCCGGUGAAAGAGGGGGGUACUUGUAGGGAGAGGAGGUUGGGGUGUCAGGGAGGGGGGUGGCUGAGACUGGGGUAGGAGCCCUAUCCAUUCUCAGAACCCGGCCUGGCUCAUUUAUUAUUGGAUUGGGUCAUCCAUUCAUUUGAAAUGGGGUGUGGGGGGACUGCUUGGAGAAGGGGGCCCCCAUUCAAUCACCCUAAGUGGAAUCUGAUCGUUAUCUUGGGAUAAACAUUCCAAAUGGAAGGUGAGUGCUGGGAGAUUAGGAAGAUAAGGAAACCAUAUGGCCCUGUCAGGAGGCUCCCAGGCCCUUAUUCUUAAAAGGAUUAAUGAAUCCAAAGGUGGGGGGGGGUCAUCUUGGUGCUGUUUUUUCAGGAGGAAGAAAUCCCAAAUCUCCAAAUAGGGAUGUGCACUGUCUGGAGAAGAAGGACUGGAACUCAGGACUCUUUCUUGCCUUCCCUGGCUUCUCUGUCCCUCUGUAGUCUGUGCGCCCCCUUCACAACAAAGCCUUUCUAAACUGCAUUUAGGACUUAGACCUGCGGAGGCUGGCUUUUGGGAUCUGGAUUCCUACCUCUGCUUGUCCAGCAAAAUUUCCAGAAAUUUUAUCUCUGUCCCUCUAGCUCCCAGUCACAUAUGGGGGCUAUUGGUGCGUGUCAAGGUGCAUGCACAGGGAGAGGGGCUCUCUGGGCAGGGCUGGGGGUUGCUGGGACUCGGGCCACACGGUGGGGCAGAGGAUCGCCAGCUGUGGGGGAGGGCAGGUAACAUGAGCCCUGGAGAGAGGGAUCUGGGGCUGCGGGGAGGGGGAGCUGGAGGCUACGGGCUUUUGAGCACGUUCUCUCCUCCCCUAUGUCAUGAGGCACUUCAUCCUUCAUUCCUCUGGCACUGCUUGUCUUACACAGCUGUUCUCAGACCCACAACUAGAGACUGUCAGAGGUAUUUGGUUUAGGUACAAAAGUGGGUACUCAUGGCAGAGAGGGUGGCUUCAGGACGGUAUGAUAGAGGUCCCUGGUGAGUAAGAAUAAUGUAAGAAAUGACCCGAAUUUACUGAGGGCUCAUUUUGUGCCAGUGUCUACUUGGGUUCCCUUGUUAAAUUCACAAUGGCUUGACAAGGUAGAUGUCAUUUUACCGAGAAGGAAACUGAUGCUCAGAGAGGCUGAGUCACUUGGUCAAGGUUGCACAGCUAUGUAGAACUAGGGCGGGGAGUCAAACCCAAGAGGCUGGACCGUAGGGCCCAAGUUCUUGAUGUAGACGGUGGCCUAGCGCUCAAUUAUUCCCAUCAGACCGCAUCUGGGAGGAGCAUUUGGGAGACAACUGCCUGCUUGGGUUGUGGACAGCCACAAGGUAACGAACAAGGCUGGUGGUGUCUGUGUGCCCACCAACUGAGUCUGGGUGGUCACACCUUGCCUGUGGGAGGGAACCCAAGUCCACUGUUGUCCAAAUAGCCCUGGCCAGGAAGGGGUCACCCUGUCACCUCCUCCCCUGGGCACGGUCACAUCUUAGGGAGAGGUGGGAACAACGGGGGCAGCGGGGGUCCCAUAGAGUUCCAGCCCUAGGCUUCCUUGCUUCAGGCUGGCCCUGGCCAGUGGCCUGAUUUGGGGGCUUUUCUGUGCUCUCAGCUCAUCUAAACAUUUGGAGCAAAACAAGAAAGCCAACAAUAGACGUUUGUGGGUUAGAGGACAGGGCUGACUUCCCCCCGGGACUCAGCACUGUUCAUAAACCAUCCCAGCUGCACUCUCACGCUGGGGAUGUCACUGGAGCCUCCUUGAAUCACAGCCUUGUCCUCGCUGGGGGCCGGCCACUGGCUCCUUUUAUAUAUCGUUGGGGGAUGCGAGCGCCGGCAGGGCAGCCGGCUGCUCAGGGGGAAGGCAUGUUUUCCUGCCUGAAUUUUGGGAAAUCACAUAGAAAAGAUGCAUCCGAGCCUGGCAUUGCAGCUCUGCCAAGUCCUCCCCUGACAGACGUGUUCUGAUCAGAGCUGUUUGCCCCACAGGAAAAGAAUCAGCUUUCUAUCAAGUGGACUCUGGGCAUUGCCCCAGAGGCAGCUCCAGCUUCCAAGGACCUGGAGACUGACCCAGGGAUGCCUGCCCGAAGCCCAGUCAGGUAAAUCCUCCGACCCAGUACUCCUGCAUCUACCCCCAGACAACUGAGAGGGGCUGACGUGGAGUGUCCCCGCCUGGAUGGCAUCCCUGGAAAAGGCUGGAGUAUUUCUAAAGAGCCUGUUCAGACAUCACAUCACAGUCCCAGAUGGCCGAGAGGUUCUUGCACUCACUUGGCUGCCCUCCCUGGGAAAUGCUUUGGAUCAGACAGCACUUCUGGGUUGUUUCUGCCUGAGGAAAGUGGUAAGAAUUCAGCAAGAAUCCCAUGGCUGGAGGAAAAGUCAGUGGGUUUACUUAGCAAAAGUAUUCACAGAGAACCGUCCAGGAGGUGAACAGGGUGGCACAACAGUCCCGGAACUGAAGACACCGGUGUGGGCAAGACAGCCUCCAGAUGGGGGCACCUUGGGAGCAGACCGAGAGCAACCUAGAGACGAAUGGCUUGGCUUCUGGAGAAUGAAGAAAGGGCUUUUCUUUAGUGCCUAAGAGGUUCAAAAUGGCCGUGUCAGGUCACACCCGCAAGCCCUGACAGAUAGUCUUGUGCUACAGAGCUCUUCCAGAGGGCCUCCCGCGCCCUAGGUUGCUUGGUCACAUAGCAGAUGCUUCCCGAGGGCUGCCGAGCACGCGUGCUGAGGAUGUGAAAAUGCACAGGAAACCUCCUUGGCCUCAAAGCUCCUGCAGGCCAGCAGGCAUGGUUCCACCAAGCGGAGGUGGGCAGAGGGUGCUCGGGGACAGCGCGGAAGCAUGAGGCAGGGGAUGGAGACCCCGGAGCCGAGUCCUCAACAACCAGCCAGGAGUUGGCCUUACAGCCCGAGAGGAAGGGCAGCUGAUCCAGGCAGAGGGCACAGACUGUGCAAUGGCCGAGGGGGAGACCAUGCCUCCUCCCCACCUCUAGAGACAGCUGGAGCGAUGGCUAUGACGGGAGCGGGCCCCCAAAGAACAGAAAGGCCAGCCCCGCAUUCUUUGCUUUGACCCUCAUGGUUUUCUGUCAGCCGGGCACAGGCGGGCUGUGAACACUUCCUGGCACGAGGGCCCCUGUUGAGUUCCAUCCCGUCUGGCGCAUUGAUUAAAGGCCCGAUCCCUGGCUCUGGUGCUGGGGGGCCCCCACAGAGAACGUGCCCAUAGGACACUCUCACCUUUCCUACCUAAGGCUUUCCUGAAAAUUCGCUGGCCAACGUGGAGGCAAGAGGCAAAGAGCCCACUUGAAAGCUGUAAGGGAGGCUUCGGUUCCCAGGGGGCUGAACAUUACUACUGUAUGUUCUUGA